rnacentral:ncRNA from 1 species
UAAAAAGUUAAGAACAAGAAUAUUUUAAUUACAAAUGCUCGUUCAGAGAAGGUUUGGUAGCUGGAAAAAACCUCGAGCAAGAUUGAAAUUGUAGCUUGGGAACUGUUAUUUUGAAAUUGGAGUAAAAAUAACCGGAUUAUCAUUCGUUAAAAAGAUAUUUAAAGAGGGGUAAAAAACCCAAUUUAGGUGGUACCACGGCACUGUCGUCCUAUUA